GACCCGCUAGCUCAGUCGGCAGAGCACCUGCCUUUUAAGCAGGGUGUCCGGAGUUCGAAUCUCCGGCGGGUCACCA
rnacentral:tRNA from 5 species